CGACUAUGUUGCCAGCCUGGAAUGAAUGCAAUUUAAGCAAUUGAAUUGAGUAACGACUGGAGGGCAAGUCUGGUGCCAGCAGCCGCGGUAAUUCCAGCUCCAGUAGCCUAUCUCAAAGUUGCUGCGCUUAAAACGCUCGUAGUUGGAUCACGCACUUUGUGUUGGUGUGCGGCCUGGUGCGACGUGACCGAAUUUGCAGUUCGGCGCGUCGAAGUCACGGUCGCUAUUAGCCGAUGCAGAGUAAUUGCACGUGAGGAUGGCAGUUGGCCUUUAGUGUGUCGACAGUCGUGUCUCACGGGGUGUGCCUUGAGUAAAUCAGAGUGCUCAAAGCAGGCGAAUGCCUGAAUGUUGAUAGCAUGGAACGAACAAUCGUGUAGGGUGUGUGCUGGUAACGGUGCGUCGUUUGACCGCCGCAGUACACGACACCGACCACCAAUUACGGAUGUUGGUUCCGUAUUGGGGUACUGAUUAAGAGGAGCGGUUGGGGGCAUUGGUAUUUGGCAGCGAGAGGUGAAAUUCUUGGACCUGCCAAGGACUAACAAAUGCGAAGGCAUCUGUCCAGACCGUAUCCAUUAAUCAAGAACGAAAGUGAGAGGUUCGAAAGCGAUCAGAUACCGCCCUAGUUCUCACUGUAAACGAUGCCGACCCGGGAUCAGUUUGGAGCCAUUUUCCACGCUCGAGGUUGGUCCCCCUGGGAAACCUGAAGUUUUUCGGUUGCGGGGGGAGUAUGGUCGCAAGGCUGAAACUUAAAGGAAUUGACGGAAGGGCACCACCAGGGGUGGAGCCUGCGGCUUAAUUUGACUCAACACGGGAAAACUUACCUGGUCCGGACAUCAAAAGGAUAGACAGACUAAAAGAUCUUUCUUGAUAUGGUGAUUGGUGGUGCAUGGCCGUUCUUAGUUCGUGGAGUGAUUUGUCAGGUUUAUUCCGGUAACGAACGAGACCACAUUCUCCAUUUGAGGAGUCAGAGAAGGUCAAGGUCGAGUGCUGGUUGGCGACAGCCGGCAUCCGUUCCAAAGCCGAAGGCGGUGUUUGAGGAAUCGGCGGUUGUUUGCGCAAGUGAACGGCCUCCGAGUCUGAAGAUGCUCCCUCUGGCCAUACAGUGCGGUGCCUCUCGGGGUGACGUAUUGUGUCAUGGAGAGACAACGGAACAUAUAACAAAAUCCGAGGAAGUGUGGCUAUAACAGGUCUGUGAUGCCCUUAGAUGUUCAGGGCUGCACGCGCGCUACAAUGACGAUGACAACGAGUUUCUGGAUCGAAAGAUUCGGGUAAUCUUGCAAUCAUCGUCGUGAUGGGGACUGAUGUUUGUAAAGACAUCACGAAAGAGGAAUCCCUAGUACACGUAGUUCAUGAAACUGCGUGGAUUUAGUCCCUGCCCUUUGUACACACCGCCCGUCGCUACUACCGAGUGAAUGGUGUCAUAAUGCCUUGGGAGCGGAUUCCGUGCUGGGCCUCGGUUCGGCGUGGAACUGCGAUCAGCGUAGAAUGGCG
rnacentral:rRNA from 1 species